rnacentral:misc_RNA from 1 species
AAUGUCGUAACAAGGUCUCCGUUUGGUGAACCAGCGGAGGGAUCAUUUACCGAGUUUACAACUUCCCAAACCCACUGUGAAUCAUAGCCUACAAGUUGCUUCGGCGGAGCCGCCCCGGCGUCCCAGGAACGUCUGUUUCGCGGCCCGGAACCAGGUGCCCGCCGGUAGACCACAAAUCUCUUUUCGUAUUUGACAGUAUCUUCUUGAGUGUGCCGCAAGGCAACAAUCAAAUGAAUCAAA